rnacentral:rRNA from 1 species
UGGAUCCAGACUUUGAUUAUGGCUCAGGACGAACGCUGGCGGCGUGCCUAAUACAUGCAAGUCGAGCGAGCUUGCCUAGAUGAUUUUAGUGCUUGCACUAAAUGAAACUAGAUACAAGCGAGCGGCGGACGGGUGAGUAACACGUGGGUAACCUGCCCAAGAGACUGGGAUAACACCUGGAAACAGAUGCUAAUACCGGAUAACAACACUAGACGCAUGUCUAGAGUUUGAAAGAUGGUUCUGCUAUCACUCUUGGAUGGACCUGCGGUGCAUUAGCUAGUUGGUAAGGUAACGGCUUACCAAGGCAAUGAUGCAUAGCCGAGUUGAGAGACUGAUCGGCCACAUUGGGACUGAGACACGGCCCAAACUCCUACGGGAGGCAGCAGUAGGGAAUCUUCCACAAUGGACGAAAGUCUGAUGGAGCAACGCCGCGUGAGUGAAGAAGGGUUUCGGCUCGUAAAGCUCUGUUGGUAGUGAAGAAAGAUAGAGGUAGUAACUGGCCUUUAUUUGACGGUAAUUACUUAGAAAGUCACGGCUAACUACGUGCCAGCAGCCGCGGUAAUACGUAGGUGGCAAGCGUUGUCCGGAUUUAUUGGGCGUAAAGCGAGUGCAGGCGGUUCAAUAAGUCUGAUGUGAAAGCCUUCGGCUCAACCGGAGAAUUGCAUCAGAAACUGUUGAACUUGAGUGCAGAAGAGGAGAGUGGAACUCCAUGUGUAGCGGUGGAAUGCGUAGAUAUAUGGAAGAACACCAGUGGCGAAGGCGGCUCUCUGGUCUGCAACUGACGCUGAGGCUCGAAAGCAUGGGUAGCGAACAGGAUUAGAUACCCUGGUAGUCCAUGCCGUAAACGAUGAGUGCUAAGUGUUGGGAGGUUUCCGCCUCUCAGUGCUGCAGCUAACGCAUUAAGCACUCCGCCUGGGGAGUACGACCGCAAGGUUGCAACUCAAAUGAAUUGACGGA